UACGUAGGGGGCGAGCGUUGUCCGGAAUUACUGGGCGUAAAGAGCGCGUAGGCGGGUCCGUACAUCCCCUGUGAAAGCCGCUGGCUCAACUAGCGGAGGCCAGGGGAGAUGGCGGGUCUAGAGGGUGGUAGAGGCAGGCGGAAGUCCCGAAGUAGUGGUGAAAUGCGUAGAGAUCGGGAGGAACAUCCGGUGGCGAAGGGCGGCCUGCUGGGCCACCCACUGACGCUGAGGCGCGAAAGCCAGGGGAGCGAACGGA
rnacentral:rRNA from 1 species